rnacentral:rRNA from 1 species
UGGGGAAUAUUGCGCAAUGGGCGAAAGCCUGAAGCAGCGACGCCGCGUGAGGGAUGAAGGUUUUCGGAUCGUAAACCUCUGUCAGAAGGGAAGAAACCGCACUGUGCUAAUCAGCAGUGCCUUGACGGUACCUUCAAAGGAAGCACCGGCUAACUCCGUGCCAGCAGCCGCGGUAAUACGGAGGGUGCAAGCGUUAAUCGGAAUUACUGGGCGUAAAGCGCACGUAGGCUGCUUUGUAAGUCAGGGGUGAAAUCCCACGGCUAAACCGUGGAACUGCCUUGGAUACUGCUUAGCUUGAAUCCGGGAGAGGGUGGCGGAAUUCCAGGUGUAGGAGGGAAAGCCGUAGAUAUCUGGAGGAACAUCAGUGGCGAAGGCGGCCACCUGGACCGGUAUUGACGCUGAGGUGCGAAAGCGUGGGGAGCAAACAGG